UUUAUGUUUUUGAAUCGAUAAAUGGAAAUCGAUGGAAAAUUAUUAGAUUUGAAAACAUAAUAUAUAUUUUCCAUAAAAAUUACUUCGGUUCAAUAGUUUAAAUAUUAAAAUGGUUGGGAAAAUAUGUUAUCGAAAUAAAAGAAAUAGCGUGUAUUUAUUUUUAGCUUAUUUAAAUAAUGUCUCUCACUACAGAAAUUGGUUUUCAAUAUUUUUCAAUUAUAAUUGGAUCUUAAUAAUUGUGGAUAAUUGGAUCUUAUGUCAUAGAAAUGACAUUUGCUUUUAUUGAUAACCAUGCGCACUUAUCAGCAGUGGAAGACAGUCAUGAACAUUGUUUAAGAGAAUAGACAACAAAGCUUUACUGGAAGUGCGACGUGAUUACAAGAUAUUUGGAAUUAGGUAUACGUUAGUAAUUGAAUUUUUAGGUUUUCCUAUAGGUAUUUAAAUAUACUCCUGCUGUGAUAAAUUAGUACUAUGCAGUUUGAAUAUUUUUUAAAUGUAACUCGGUUGACAGUUUUUCUAAAAUAAAUAGGACCGUGUUUUCUCGUUUGGACAUAUAGGAAAUAUUCAGACUACCAUACUCUUAGGUCUUAACGUGGUAAGGAAUAUAUUGAGCUUGUAUGGUUACCGCCAUUUUAACUAAAUGGCCGGAAUAGUUACGCGUUCCGAAUUCGUGUCUUAAUGUUCUUGACCUGGCGGUAUUCAAGCUG